UACGGAGGGAGCUAGCGUUGUUCGGAAUUACUGGGCGUAAAGCGCACGUAGGCGGCUUUGUAAGUUAGGGGUGAAAGCCCGGAGCUCAACUCCGGAAUUGCCUUUAAGACUGCAUCGCUUGAAUCCGGGAGAGGUGAGUGGAAUUCCGAGUGUAGAGGUGAAAUUCGUAGAUAUUCGGAAGAACACCAGUGGCGAAGGCGGCUCACUGGACCGGUAUUGACGCUGAGGUGCGAAAGCGUGGGGAGCAAACGGG
rnacentral:rRNA from 1 species